UGCCAGACUCCUACGGGAGGCAGCAGUGGGGAAUAUUGGGCAAUGGGCGCAAGCCUGACCCAGCAACGCCGCGUGAAGGAAGAAGGCUUUCGGGUUGUAAACUUCUUUUAAGGGGGAAGAGCAGAAGACGGUACCCCUUGAAUAAGCCACGGCUAGCUACGUGCCAGCAGCCGCGGUAAUACGUAGGUGGCAAGCGUUGUCCGGAUUUACUGGGUGUAAAGGGCGUGCAGCCGGAGAGGCAAGUCAGAUGUGAAAUCCGCGGGCUCAACCCGCGAACUGCAUUUGAAACUGCUUCCCUUGAGUAUCGGAGAGGUAAUCGGAAUUCCUAGUGUAGCGGUGAAAUGCGUAGAUAUUAGGAAGAACACCAGUGGCGAAGGCGGAUUACUGGACGACAACUGACGGUGAGGCGCGAAAGCGUGGGGAGCAAACAGGAUUAGAUACCCGCGUAC
rnacentral:rRNA from 1 species